rnacentral:rRNA from 1 species
GCCGCGUGAGUGAUGAAGGUCUUCGGAUCGUAAAACUCUGUUAUUAGGGAAGAACAAAUGUGUAAGUAACUAUGCACGUCUUGACGGUACCUAAUCAGAAAGCCACGGCUAACUACGUGCCAGCAGCCGCGGUAAUACGUAGGUGGCAAGCGUUAUCCGGAAUUAUUGGGCGUAAAGCGCGCGUAGGCGGUUUUUUAAGUCUGAUGUGAAAGCCCACGGCUCAACCGUGGAGGGUCAUUGGAAACUGGAAAACUUGAGUGCAGAAGAGGAAAGUGGAAUUCCAUGUGUAGCGGUGAAAUGCGCAGAGAUAUGGAGGAACACCAGUGGCGAAGGCGACUUUCUGGUCUGUAACUGACGCUGAUGUGCGAAAGCGUGGGGAUCAAACAGGAUUAGAUACCCUGGUAGUCCACGCCGUAAACGAUGAGUGCUAAGUGUUAGGGGGUUUCCGCCCCUUAGUGCUGCAGCUAACGCAUUAAGCACUCCGCCUGGGGAGUACGACCGCAAGGUUGAAACUCAAAGGAAUUGACGGGGACCCGCACAAGCGGUGGAGCAUGU